GCGGUAAUACGAAGGGUGCAAGCGUUACUCGGAAUUACUGGGCGUAAAGCGUGCGUAGGGGGUUUGUUAAGUCAGAGGUGAAAGCCUGGAGCUCAACUCCAGAACUGCCUUUGAUACUGGAAGUCUUGAGUUCGGGAGAGGUGAGUGGAACUGCGAGUGUAGAGGUGAAAUUCGUAGAUAUUCGCAAGAACACCAGUGGCGAAGGCGGCUCACUGGCCCGAUACUGACGCUGAGGCACGAAAGCGUGGGGAGCAAACA
rnacentral:rRNA from 1 species